rnacentral:lncRNA from 1 species
GCCGAAUACAACAAGUGUAGACCUUACCGUGAAAUGCUUACUUACAAGCCCUUAACCAACAGUGCAGUUCAAGAAAGACUUAAGAAAAUAUUUACCAAAUAAACUAAAGUAAAAAAUAAUAAAAAGUAACACAAUAAAAUAACUAUAACGAGGUUAUAUACAGGGGUUCCGGUACCGAGUCAGUGUGUGGGGAUACAGGUUAGUCGAGGUAAUUUGUAAAUGCAGGUAGGGAUGAAGUGACUAUGCAUAGGUAAUAAACAGUGAGUAGCAGCAGUGUAAAAAAACAAAUGGAGGGGGAUGUCAAUGUAAAUAAUCCGGUGGCCAUUUGAUUAACUGUUCAGCAGUCUUAUGGCUUGGGGGUAGAAACUGUUAAGGAGCCUUUUGGUCUGAGACUUGGCGCUCUGAUACCGUUCGCCGUGUGGUAGCAGAGAAAACAGUCUAUGACUUGGGUGACUGGAGUCUUUGACAGUUUUAUGGGCUUUCCUCUGACACUGCCUAUUAUAUAGGUCCUGGAUUGCAGGAAGCUUGGCCCCAGUGAUGUACUGGGCCGUACGCAUUACCCUCUGUAGCGCCUUACGGUCACAUGCCAUAACAGGCGGUGAUGUAACCGGUCAGGAUGCUCUCGAUGGAACAGUUGUAGAACUUUUUGAAGAUCUGGGAUGCAUGCCAAAUCUUUUCAGUCUCCUGAGGGGGAAAAAGUUUUGUUGUGUUCUCUUCACGACUGUCUUGGUGUGUUUGGACCAUGAUAGUUUAUUGGUGAUGUGGACACCAAGGAACUUGAAACUCUCGACCUGCUCCACUACAGCCCUGUCGAUGUUAAUGGGGGCCUGUUCGGCCCGCCUUUUCCUGUAGUCCACGAUCAGCUCCUUUGACUGGCUCACAUUGAGGGAGAGGUUGUGGUCUUGGCACCACACUGCCAGUUCUCUGACCUCCUUCCUAUAGGCUGUCUCAUCGUUCUCGGUGAUCAGGCCUACCACUGUUGUGUCGUCAGCAAACUUAAUGAUGGUGUUGGAGUCGUGUUUGGCCACGCAGUCAUGGGUGAACAGGGAGUACACGAGGGGACUAAGCAGGCACCCAUGAGGGGCCCGCGUGUUGAGGUUCAGCGUGGCAGAUGUGUUGUUCCCUACCCUUACCACCUGGGGGCGGCCCGUCAGGAAGUCCAGGAUCCUGUUGCAGAGGUACAGUUGAAGUCGGAAGUUUACAUACACCUUAGCCAAAUACAUUUAAACUCAGUUUUUCACAAUUCCUGACAUUUAAUCCUAGUAAAAUUCCCUGUCUUAGGUCAGUUAGGAUCACCACUUUAUUUUACGAAUGUGAAAUGUCAGAAUAAUGCUAGAGAGAAUGAUUUAUUUCAGCUUUUAUUUCUUUCAUCACAUUCCCAGUCGGUCAGAAGUUUACAUACACUCAAUUAGUAUUUGGUAGCAUUGCCUUUAAAUUGUUUAACUUGAGUCAAAUGUUUUUGGGUAGCCUUCCACAAGCUUCCCACAAUAAGUUGGGUGAAUUUUGUCCCAUUCCUCCUGACAGAGCUGGUGUAACUGAGUCAGGUUUGUAGGCCUCCUUGCUCGCACACGCUUUUUCAGUUCUGCCCACAAAUUUUCUAUAGGAUUGAGGUCAGGGCUUUGUGAUGGCCACUCCAAUACGUUGACUUUGUUGUCCUUAAGCGAUUUUGCCACAACUUUGGAAGAAUGCUUGGGGUUAUUGUCCAUUUGGAAGACUCAUUUGCGACCAAGCUUUAACUUCCUGAUAGAUGUCUUGAGAUGUUGCUUCAAUAUAUCCACAUAAUUUUCUUUCCUCAUGAUGCCAUCUAUUUUGUGAAGUGCACCAGCCCCUCCUGCAGCAAAGCACCCCCACAACAUGAUGCUGCCACCCCCGUGCUUCACGGUUGGGAUGGUGUUCUUCAGCUUGCAAGCCUCCCACUUUUUCCUCCAAACAUAACAAUAGUCAUUAUGGCCAAACAGUUCUAUUUUUGUUUUAUCAGACCAGAGGACAUUUCUCCAAAAAGUAAGAUCUUUGUCCCCAUGUGUAGUUGCAAACCGUAAUCUGUCUUUUUUAAUGGCGGUUUUGGAGUAGUGGCUUCUUCCUUGCUGAGCGGCCUUUCAGGUUAUGUCGAUAUAGGACUCGUUUUACUGUGGAUAUAGAUACUUUUGUACCUGUUUCCUCCAGCAUCUUCACAAGGUCCUUUGCUCUUGUUCUGGGAUUGAUUUGCACUUUUCGCACCAAAGUACGUUCAUCUCUAGGAGACAGAACGCGUCUCCUUCCUGAGUGGUAUGAUGGCUGCGUGGUCCCAUGGUGCUUAUACUUGCAUACUAUUGUUUGUACAGAUGAAUGUGGUACCUUCAGGCGUUUGGAAAUUGCUCCCAAGGAUGAACCAGACUUGUGGAGGUCUACAAUUUUUUUCUGAGGUCUUGGCUGAUUUUUAAUUUUUUCCCCCAUGAUGUCAAGCAAAAAUGAACUGAGUUUGAAGGUAGGCCUUGAAAUACAUCCACAGGUACACCUCCAAUUGACUCAAAUGAUGUCAAUUAGCCUAUCAGAAGCUUCUAAAGCCAUGACAUCAUUUUCUGGAAUUGUCCAAGCUGUUUAAAGGCACAGUCAACUUAGUGUAUGUAAACUUCUGACCCACUGGAAUUGUGAUACAGUGAGUUAUAAGAUAAAUAAUCUGUCUGUAAACAAUUGUUGAAAAAAUUACUUGUGUCAUGUACACAGUAGAUGUCUUAACUGACUUGCCAAAAAUAGAGUUUGUUAACAAGAAAUGUGUGGAGUGGUUGAAAAAUGUGUUUUAAUGACUCAGACCUAAGUGUAUGUAAUCUUCCGACUUCAACUGUAUAUAUGUACUAGCCUACCUCUUUCAUGUAAUAAUUCCAGGAAUAAAUUCAAUGCAGUUAUUAGCCUUAUAUUUACACUACCAAAAGUUUACACAAGACCAAAAGUUUGUGGACAACUGCUUGUCGAACAUCUCAUUCCAAAAUAAUGGGUGAUUCAUAUGGAGUUGGUCCCCCCUUUGCUGCUAUAACAGCCUCCACUCUUCUGGGAAGGCUUUCCACUAGAUGUUGGAACAUUGCUGCGGGGACUUGCUUCCAUUCAGCCACAAGAGCAUUAGUGAGGCCAGGCACUGAUGUUGAGCGAUCAGGCCUGGGUCGCAGUCGGUAUUCCAAUUCAUCCCAAAGGUGUUCGAUGGGGUUGAGGUCAGGGCUCUGUGCAGGCCAGUCAAGUUCUUCCAAACCAUUUCUGUAUGGACCUCGCUUUGUGCACGGGGUAAUUGUCAUGCUAAAGCAGAAAGGGCCUUCCCCAAAUGGUUACCACAAAGUUGGAAGCACAGAAUUAUCUAGAAUGUCAUUGUAUGCUGUAGCAUUAAGAUUUUCCUUCACUGGAACUAAGUGGCCUAGCACGAACCAUGAAAAACAGUCCCGGACCAUUAUUCCUCCUCCACCAAACUUUAUAGUUGGCAAUAUGCAUUGGGACAGGUAGAAUUCUCCUGGCAUCCGCCAAACCCAGAUUGGUCUGUCAGACUGCCAGAUGGUGAAGUGUGAUUCAUCACUCCAGAGAACGCGUUUCCACUGCUCCAGAGUCCAAUGGUUGGCGAGCUUUACACCACUCCAGCCGAUGGAAACCCAUUUCAUGAAGCUCCCGACAAACAGUUAUUGUGCUGACUUUGCUUAAAAAACGCUCCUUAGCUGUCUCAGAAAAAACUAGACUAGAAUAGCUUGCUGGAAAAAAUGUUUUUGCAUUUCUUAUACUAAUUGACUAUUGGAAGAGGGAUGCUAACUCUUGUUUGCUGAAUGUUAAAUAAAGAAGCCAAUAGAACUCACAGCCACGGGCCGGGGAGUUUGAAAGAAGAGAGAACGUGGGAUGGCGAUGCACGACUACCUGACUCAGGCAGCACAGUUCAUGGUUCUCUCUUCACUGGACAAUGACCCAACACACCUCCAGGUUGUGUAAGGGCUAUUUGACCAAGAAGGAGAGUGAUGGAGUGCUGCAUCAGAUGACCUGGCCUCCACAAUCACCUGACCUCAACCCUAUUGAGAUGGUUUGGGAUGAGUUGGACUGCAAAGUGAAGGAAAAGCAGCUCAGCAUAUGUGGGAACUCCUUCAAGACAGGUGAAGCUGAAAGAAUGCGAUGAGAUAAUGCCAAGCUUGUGCAACGCUAUCAUCAAGGCAAAGGGUCGCUACUUUGAAGAAUCGAAAAUCGAAAAUAUAUUUUGUUUUCUUUAACACUUUUUUGGUUACUACAUAAUUCACUAUUAUUUUCCAAUGUAAAAAAUAGUACAAAUAAAGAAAAACCCUUGAAUGAGUAGGUGUGUCCAAACUUUUGAUUGGUACUGUAGCUAAAACAAAAUAAUUGGAAAAUGAACAAAAAUAUAACUGCAACAUGCAACAAUUUCAAAUAUUUGACUGAGUUACAAUUCAUAUAAGGAAGUCAGUCAAUUUAAAUUAAUUAAUUAGUCCCUAAUCUAUGGAUUUCACAUGACUGGGAAUACAGAUAUGCAUCUGUUUGUCACAGAUACCUUAAAAAAGUAGGGACGUGGAUCAGAAAACCAGUCAGUAUAUGCAUGAGACCACCAUUUGCCUCAUGCAGCGCGACACAUCUCCUUUGCAUAGAGUUAAUCAGGCUGUUGGUUGUGGCCUGUGGAAUGUUGUCCCACUCCUCUUCAAUGGCUGUGUGAAGUUGCUGGAUACUGGCAGGAACUGGAGCAUGCUGUCACCUGGGCUGGCGUGGUUACAUGUGGUCUGUGAGGCUGUUGGACAUACUGCCAAAUGAUCUAAAACGAUGUUGGAGGCCGCUUAUGGUAGAGAAAUUAACAUUAAAUUCUCUGGCAACAGCUCUGGUGGACAUUCCUGCAGUCAGCAUGCCAAUUGCACGCUCCCUCAACUUGAGACAUCUGUGGCAUUGUGCUGUGUGACAAAACUGCAGAUUUUAGAGUGGCCUUUUAUUGUCCCCAGCACAAGGUGCACCUGUGUAAUGAUCAUGAUGUUUAAUCAGCUUCUUGAUAUGCCACACCUGUCAGGUGGAUGGAUUAUCUUGGCAAAGGAGAAGUGCUCACUAACAGGGAUUAAAAUAAAUUUGUGCACAAAAUUUGAGAGAAAUAAGCUUGUAUGAAACAUUUAUGGAUUGUUUAAUUUCAGCUGAUGAAACACACUUUGCAUGUUGCAUUGCGUUUAUAUUUUUGUUCAGUGUAUUUAUCACUCUGUUUCUCCUUUGACUCACAGGUCUUUUGAUGGGAGGCGGAGCCCUGCUAUUGGUCACUCUGCUGCAGCCAUGAAAGAAUGGUCUAAUCAAAUCAAAUUGUAUUUGUCACAUGCACCGAGUACAACAGGUGUAGGCCUUACAGUGAAGUGCUUGCUUACAAGCCCUUAACCAACAAUGCAGUUUUAAGAAAAAUAAGUGUUGAGAAAAAAAUCGAUAAGUAAAAAAUAAGAAAUAAAAGUAACAAAUAAUUAAAGAGCAGCAGUAAAAUAACAAGAGAGAACAGUCUAUGACUGUCUUUGACAAUUUUAGGGCCUUCCUCUGACACCGCCUGGUAUAGAGGUCCUGGAUGGCAGGAAGCUUGGCCCCAGUGAUGUACUGGGCCGUACGCACGACACUCUGUAGUGCCUUGCGGUUGGAGGCCGAGCAGUUGCCAUACCAGGCAGUGAUGCAAUCAGUUAGGAUGCUCCCGAUGGUGCAGCUGUAUAACUUUUUGAGGAUCUGAGGACCCAUGCCAAAUCUUUCAGUCUCCUGAGGGGGAAUAGGUUUUGUCGUUGUUAUAAGAAUUUUAUAUCUUGAUGAUAAUAAUCAAUAAUCAAUUCGCCUUGACUAAUGCCCAAGGUUUGUAAGACAAUGGGUUAAAAUAAUUAGGCAAGGACUCAGCUUUCUGCAAAAGGUUUCUGUAGCUUUAUUCAUGAGAACGUUCUGGUGUCAGGAUAACAAAACAGUCAUUAUAUAGUUCUUGCUUACUUACGCACAUGCAUUUACACACAAUCCGUUGGUGACCUGCAACCCCCAUAAAAUUCUCACACUGUUUAUCACCUUCUGGCUCAGCCUUCAAGGUUAGGAACUCUCUGAGGUUUUACUCCCUUCACCAUCUGCUUCUCUAUCUCUCUAUACUAAUUGCAUACACACACUGAAUGUAUCAGAAAGGUUACCAAAACUAUGAUGCAGCUCAGAGUCUCUACUCUUCCCAAAAACCGCCAACCCUCUCCUGCCCUUAGUCUCUCUGCUAGGUACCACCCCAUACUCACACCUCUAGGAGCACACACAGUGAUGAACGGUCGGGAUAGGAAAUCUUCGUUAAGGAGGUAACCCCCGGACCCUGUUGGUAUCGGUUCUUCUCCUAACUCUGUGUGUGAUCAGCAGUGCUCAUAUGUGUACAUACCUUCUUGCAGUGGAUAACGUGGACCCAAGUGACUCUCUCAGCUUUUCUAAUGGCAAAGGCAGUGGUUUAACAGAACCUGGUAUGGGCCUUCCCAAUGGGGCUGCUUCCAGUCUUUCCUCCUCAGGGACUGGAUCCACACCCAGUCUCCUGGUUGGAUUGAGUGAAUCACCUUCUCCUGUAAUUCACCUGUUGGACACAAAAUCUUGGACAUACGGGGUUGGUUAACAAACAGUCUUCUCAUGUGCUCUGUUAGUAUUUCUUCAACUUCUAUGUCUACCUGUUCUGGUAUCUCUAACUCUGGUAUUCUAUAGGCUCUACUUGAUUAGCUAAAAUGUCAUCCAUCAUUUAAAGAGAUGGCUCCUAGUAAACCAACUCCAGGGAUAAUAUCUUGACUUAAUAUUUUAGCUACCAUAAUCAUGUCCACCAAGUAAGUUGGGAACGCUUCUACCCAUUUGCUAUACUUAUCUAUUCUUGUUAAACACCCCUUCUUCCCCUCAUUUCGGAAUAUCUCAAUAAGGUCAAUUUCCAACUGUUGGAAUGGAUAUCUUACAAAAAAAUGUGUUUAAGUAAUUAUCCUCUAGGCCAUCACUCUUUCCUAACUACUCUACUAUACUUCCCUCCCCUUGAUACAUUGCUUAGCCUAUGUAUCAAUAUUGCUGCGUAUCCAUACAAUGUCUUUGGUAGGAUAAGUAAAUUAUCCUUAUGUCAGACCUUCUCUUGUAGGAUGCCCCCUUUCAUUUUCCACAUGUCCAAUUCUCCCUGGGGCCUUCAUCCUCGGCUAUUCUGUAACAAUUCUCUGUCAAGUGUUUUAUCUUCUUUAAGAUUUAUCUGUGCUGUUUUGUAUGGUUUUAAAUGUCUAUGUGCUUGUCUGUGUAGAUAGUAACUUUUCUCUCCUUUCUUAUUUCACCGGUUCUAGUCAAUGCUACUAUUUCGGCCUACUGUGCAGAAUAGUGUCUGGGCAAUGGUUCAGUGUCUAACACCUGAAACCAACUAAGCUUUCAUUGCCCUUUUAGUUAGGGUAACAAUUACUUUGAACAAAAUGAUCAUAUCUCCUCCUAGCGAAUUUACCAAACAUAAACUUAAAAUCAAAACUAAAAUAUAUACCUAUGGAGCCGAUAGUCUCUCCAUGAAUUAAUAUCCUAAAGCUAAGUGAACCAAAUUCUCUUCCUAUCUACUCCUGCUGGCCCCCCUUCUUUCUUCCUGCUACUCCCCAACCCUCAAGGUUUCAGCAGUGCAGGGGAGGAUCUCUCUGUCUGCCCUUCUAUCUGUCUCCAGCUUUUUGUGAUAACAUGGUUGUUUCCAAAUAUUGACUAAACGUCUCAUUGUCUCCUUGGUUGCACUCCUGAGUUUUAGAAAAAUCAACCUGUCUAGAUAUUGCAUAUCUACUUAAAUGUAUCUCGAUACCCUCAAUGAUCCUGGAUCACCUACAGAUGUCAUAUAUCCCUGUCCUGUUGACAUAAAUCUAUCAUUAUUAAACUUAUUCACAACAAAAUAUAGUAAUAUUAUAUCCAUUCCACAGCCUUGUUGUGUUAAAUCUCUUACACUGCUUUCAACAACAGCUGACUUCCUAAGGGAAAAUAAACUUAUCUAGAUCAUGUAAAAAAUACCCCUGCUACUGGUCAAAAUAUUCUCAAAUCACAUAAUCAGAUCUAAAUGACUAAUCUGAUUUACUCCACCAAGAAAAAUUAUUUUACCCUUAUUGUUCUAGGAAAAUAGACUUGAAGAAGCCUACCCUUAGUCUAAGGCUUUGCCCUUUUAGUCUUCUCAUUGGUUCUAAUUAUCAAUUGUGUCUAAGAACUUUAACUCCUUCAUAAUUAUCAGUUCUACAAAUUCCCUUAAAAUCAAUAUCACCAAUGACCUUAAAUUCACCAUCCAAAUGGCUUUUCAAUGUGGCUGAUCAGACCACACAGGAAAAGUCACCAGAUGGGUCAAAAGUCAUACCACCCUUUCAGAACCGUGUUUCUUACUACUGUUACGGAUACAAGUGUGUAUCCUGUAUGUGUGUUUCUUUUCUCUCCUUCUCCUCCUCACAGGUGACAAUCAUCACUCCCCAAUCAGUCAUCAAUCAGUCCCCAAACAGAAGUCACCUGCUCCUCUUCCCUCACCCAAUCACAGUCCCUUUCCCUUGGUUUAAAACCCCAGUCAGUUGCAAUCUCUCACUAGCUCAUUAUCACUCUGAGCUCAUUCUCACUCUGAUCAAUCUUUGUGUUCAUUCUCUCUCUCUCUCUCUCUCUCUCUCUCUCUCUCUCUCUCUCUCUCUCUCUCUCUCUCUCUCUCUCUCUCUCUCUCUCUCACCCCCUCUCUGGCAUCUCUUACUUCCCUCAGAU